rnacentral:lncRNA from 1 species
CCACCCACAUCGCCGCACUGCCCCCCCACGCGGCACGCGGCCCGGCCGGGCCCCGACCUGCCCGCCUCAGGCAGGCGGCGCUGAGGCUUGGAGCGUUAGGCCAGCUCCGGGCCGGGUGUCAGGGUGGGAGCGAGUGAGGGAAAUCCCACAGGUGACCGUUGAGAGAUUCGGGGAGCCUCUGGUGAGGCGAGCAUUAGAUAAUGGAGGCUGAGCUCACAUGGAAUUUCACCCAGUAAUUCCCGCCUCCAGCCUAUGCAGAGUCUGCUCGAGCUAGAACAUAUUGUGUAAGAGACACCAGCCUUGAUUUAAAGACUUCCAAGUGAAGUAGAAUCCACCCCAUCUCUUGGUACAGAAAAGGAUCUUGGCAAAUACUUUCUACAGGAGUCAUACAAGCAUCGUUGGAGCAACUCUGUCACAAGAGAAGCAGUCCAGCCCCCUCUACCCAAGGAGCAAGAUGACGCUGAUGUGCAGCCACACUUGUGGAUGUGGGUGAACCCCAACCUGGUUUGCCCCAUAACAGGCUACCCCAAUAAGGGAGUCCCAGGAAAACCAGUGCAUUCGGUAGCUCCUGCACACAAGGCGGCUGUUAGAAAACCUACUUCAGUAAAACCAAGGCCCCAAGUAGCUGCUGCCCUACAAACUUCCUCUGGACAAUGUGUUUCAGUGCCCCCAGUAACUGCUGCACCCAAGGUCUCCUCUAGAAAAUAUAGUUCAUUAAAGGCAGUGGCCCUCGUCACUGCCCUGCAGACUUCUCCUGUAGCCUCUGUUUCCAUGCCCCCGUUGGCUACUGGUGCUGUGACCCUGCAGGCUUCAGCAGUCAAGAAUGUUCCCAGAAAACCAGUGUUCCCUGUAUUAUUGGCAACUGUUGCACCCAAGGCUUCUACUCCAGUAAAACCAGUACCUCCAGUAGCUGCUGCAUCCAAGGCUUCUAAUAGAAAACAUGCUUCAGUAAAGACAGUGCCCCCAGUAGCUGACACCAUGCAGAUUUGCGCACACACAGCGGGAAAAACUGUGUCUCUGGAAACUGCAGCACUUGAGGACUCCUAUCAAAAACCAGUCUUAAUUGACUCCAAGCAACUCUGUCCCAAGGAGGAGGUGCUACUGUGCUCCAGCAAAGCAAAGCGCUGA